rnacentral:rRNA from 1 species
UGGGGAAUAUUGCACAAUGGGCGGAAGCCUGAUGCAGCAACGCCGCGUGCGGGAUGACGGCCUUCGGGUUGUAAACCGCUUUCGCCUGUGACGAAGCGUGAGUGACGGUAAUGGGUAAAGAAGCACCGGCUAACUACGUGCCAGCAGCCGCGGUGAUACGUAGGGUGCGAGCGUUGUCCGGAUUUAUUGGGCGUAAAGGGCUCGUAGGUGGUUGAUCGCGUCGGAAGUGUAAUCUUGGGGCUUAACCCUGAGCGUGCUUUCGAUACGGGUUGACUUGAGGAAGGUAGGGGAGAAUGGAAUUCCUGGUGGAGCGGUGGAAUGCGCAGAUAUCAGGAGGAACACCAGUGGCGAAGGCGGUUCUCUGGGCCUUUCCUGACGCUGAGGAGCGAAAGCGUGGGGAGCGAACAGGCUUAGAUACCCUGGUAGUCCACGCUGUAAACGGUGGGUACUAGGUGUGGGGUCCAUUCCACGGGUUCCGUGCCGUAGCUAACGCUUUAAKACCC